UAGAAAAAUUCUAAAGAAGAGAACAAAUUAUGAGUAUAAGCUGAGACGAAGAACAAAAUGUAAGGAAGAUUUUAUGCAGUACAUUAAGGUAGGCAUGACUUGUUAUGGUAAUACAACAUUUUGUAAAGAUUCAGUACUAGAUAGUUUCACAUUUUAUAAGUUGUUGAACAUGUAUCUCUUGAAAAGAACUUUGACUCUGGAAUUUUAUACCUUUUUUUUUUUUACUAAAUCAAUAAAACUUAGUAUUUACAUCAUGUACAGUAUAACAUGAAAAUGAAUUAAUCCACAAAAUUAUUUUAAAUGACGGCUGUGUUAGAUUUAAUUAUAUGGGGGAAUAGGAAGGCAUUUCUGAUAAAAUUUGACAAUGUAUUUGAUUGGUAGUCAUGGUAGUCAUUAUUUUAGAGAAAAACAAACCUAUAUGGGAAAUAAACAAGAAGACAUCUUUGUAUGGCAACCAAGAAUAAAAAAUGCAUUCUUAGUCAACACAGAGCCUUUGCUCACACCAAACAGCUAGCUAUACAUGCUAUAAAGGGCCCUUUAAAUGACUAGUGUAAAACCAUUCAAACAGGAAAACCAACGUUCUAAUCUAUAUAAAAAGCAAGAAAAACAUGAACCAUAUCAACAAACAACAGCCAUUGAUCAUCAGGUUCCUGACUUCAAACAGGGGCAAACAAAUGCAACAGGUUAAAGCAUUUUAAUAGGAUUAUAUAUACCAGCCUUCACCCUUACCUGAAACAACAGUGUAACAUCACAACAUAGAACAACACACUAUAAAAUAUCAAUUGUUAAUAUCAAUCAUAUACUAGUUUGCUUGCUAAAUUAAUCUCAUUGUAAAAAUAAAAGAAAAAAAGCAUAAUCAUGAUAAUGACAACCAUAAUAAGCAUACAUUUUUUUUUAGAUAAAUAACUUGUAGUAUACUACUGCAUGUACUGUACAAUAUACUAGCUUGCUGCAAUGUACAUGUAUAUAAUGAUUUUAUGUUUUUAUUCCAGUAUGAAGUUGAUGUUUUAAAGCUUAUUCAUACAAGGAGACAGGUAUGACACUUUUUCAGUCAGGGGACUUACUGAAAUAAGUAAUUUUUAAAUCACUUAUUUGAGUAGCAAAAUUGAAGUAUUGUCACAAAUUGUGAUUUUGUAGUUUUACCAAAAUUUUAAACACAUAGGUUUUAAUAAUAUCUUUUCAUUAAUAAAAUUGGAAAAAAUGAACUCUUUGCUUCUUUUAUGUAGCAAGGUUUAUGCCUUUGAUGCUAUCAUUUAUCUGCAAAUUCUAUUUUAGUUGAAACAAGAAUGUGUCCUCAGUACACGAAUGCCCCACUCGCACUAUCAUUUUCCAUGUUCAGUGGACCGUGAAAUUGGGGUAAAAACUCUAAUUUGGAAUUAAAAUUAGAAAGAUCAUAUCAUAGGGGACAUGUGUACUAAGUUGGAAGUCGAUUGGACUUAAACUUCAUCAAAAACUACCUUGACCAAAAACUUUAACCUGAAGCGGGAACAGACGGACAACGAACGGACAGACGACGGACGAACGAACGGACAGACGGACGGACGGACGGACAGACCAGAAAACAUAAUGCCCCUCUACUAUCGUAGGUGGGGCAUAAAAAUGCUAUAAUAAUGGCUAUACAUAAUAAACUCAUACUUAACAGAUUUUUCCCAGCAGUGGGAGUAUUUUUCCUGUAAAGUUCAAAGUUUCAUCUUUCAGAUUAUGUAAUAAAAUUCUACUGUUCGCGAUAAAAAUUUCACUGUUCGGGGGUGUUGAAAUUAGUGGGGGUUAUUAAAAUAAUGAUACUUAAAUAAGUGAUUUUGGGAAGGAAUUGAGGUAUGAUACUUAAACAAGUGAUUUUAUGUAUUAUCCUAGAUUCAGUACAAGGUCAACACCUGAAAUGACCUAGUCAUCCUAGACAACACAGAUGUUGGUUCUUAUAAGUUUAGAAACAUAAUUAGUCCCUGAUCAUUAGUAUCUAUAUUUAAGCUAAAAUAAAAUUCAAUCAUUCUUCUAGUGAUUAAUUUGUACUACUUAAAUAGGUGAUUAUUAAAGAAAGACAACUCUUACUUCCAAUCUGUUUGGAAAUAAUGGUUGUUAGAAAUUAAAAAUACUUUAUAUGAAUGUGGAUUUAAUUUGAUGUGGGAUGAUCAAAUAAUUGCUAAAUCUGAUAAUAUUAGUAAGAAUGUCAAGAAAUGUUUAAGUGAUAAAUUUAUGUUGAACUGGAGUAAUAAUGUUAUGAUUCUGCAAAAUGUCUUAAUUACAGAAUAUACAAGUCUGAUUUUUGUUUUGAAAAUAUUUAUCGGUGUUACCAUCUGAUCUAAGAAUGUAUUUAUGUUAAAUUCCGUUGCCUUAGUAAUAAUUUGCCCAUUGAAACGGGCAGAUUUUUUAAUAUUGAUAGAUCUGAAAGACAUUGUAAUCUUUGUAAUGCUAAUGAACUUGGUGAUGAGUUUCAUUACUUAUUCAAAUGUACCUUUUUCAACAAUGUAAGAGCUAAAUUUUUACCUUUAAAAUAUAUGUAAAAACCCAAAUUUUAAAAUUUAAAGAAUUGGAUGAAUACAUCAGAUUUAUUUACAACUUACUGGAAUAGCAAAAUUUUGCAAAAAGUGUUUAAAACCUUUAAUACAUGUGCUUAAUCAUGUACUAUAAAUUUGUACUUCCUGUCAAAUAUUUGUAAAUUAUAUAUAUACUAUUAUUGCACUUUGUUAACCAUGUUGUUCUAAUGUAAAUAUGUUCACACUUUUAUUGUUUGUUAAAAAAUGUUGUACUAACAUACCCCAUGUGGGGGCUUUAGUGAAAUAAAAUGUCUUAUGUCUAUAAAUGUUACUUAAAUCAGUGAUUUAGAAAAUCACCCAUUUAAGUAAGUCCCCUGACUGUUUUUAAUUGGUUUUGUUUUAAAAGAUAACAAGAUUAUUUUUUUUUAAUCAUUUUAAGAAUUGUUAAGUACACACAACUAUAGGAAUAAAAUUAAGAAUGGAAAUGGGGAAUGUCUCAAAGAAACCAAAGAGCAGAAAAUAGCUGAAGGUCUUCCAUGGGUCAACAAUACAGCGAAAAUAUCCCACACCCACACUUGGAAACAAAAAUGUGUACUAGUUCUGUGAUAAUGGACGUGAUAUAUACUAAACUCUGAAAUAUAUAAAACAGACUAAAAAUUGAAAAUCAUACUAGACUAAGAAAGGCCAGAGGCUCCUUCCUGACUUGGGACAGGAACAAAAAAGUGGCAUAGAAAUAAAAAAAACUAAACAAACAUAAAACAAUAGAUUUUUGUUUAUUUUGAAUAAAAAUAAAUGAUGACUAUGAAUGGUAGGGCACAAUUUAUCUUUCAUUUAAGAAAAAAUUUCAAAAAAAUUAUUUAUGUGUCCAAAACUCAAUAAUAAAACAGAUAAACUGUAGUCACAAAUGAUAACAAAAAUAUAAAAAAUGUAGCAAAUAUAAAAUUGGUAGUUUACAGAAAAGUAAAAAAUUGAUAUGUUUAAAAACAACUUUAAAAAAACCCAUCUAGUACAUGUAUGUCUGUACAAUGUGUAAAACUCCAUAUGAAUAAGAUUUGAGGGUAUAUGUUAAUUAAUAUACAGCAACCAAACAAAAAAAAAAAAAAAAAAGAUUCAUACUAAUAUUGUUGGUAACAAUUUUCUUGGAUUGAGGAAAAAUAGUAUUUCCGUUGAUAUCUGAUUUCGUGGAUUUUCCAAUUCUAUAAAAUUGAGAAUGGAAAUGGGGAAUGUGCCAAAGAGACAACAACCCAACCAUAGAUAGAAAAAAAACAGCAGAAGGUCACCAACAGGUCUUAAAAUGUAGCGAGAAAUUCCCGCACCCGGAGGCAUCCUUCAACUGACCCCUAAACAAAUAUAUACUAGUUCAGUGAUAAUGAAGCUGCAUACAAGCCUAUAGAAAGUAUGUAUAUCAUUGAAAAUUUGAAUUUGUGGUUUACAAAAACACUCAAAAUUCAAUUAAAUUUGUAUCCAACAGAUGAUAAUGAAUCCAUAGUAACACACUGAAAGCAAUAACAAGACAUUUUGAUAGUUUCUUUAUCUGUUACUGCUGUUUAUUGUGUUGAGAUAUACUUUAUAAUCAGUUAUCAUGGUCAUAAGAUCCAUAGUUAUACAUACAUGUACUAAUAAAUGUUAUAAUCUUUUACAGAAAGUGAGAUACCAUCACAAAAGGACAGAAAUUGAGUAUGCCAUUACAUGUAGAAUACACAACUUAUUUAGAGUG
rnacentral:lncRNA from 1 species